rnacentral:rRNA from 1 species
GAUGAACGCUGGCGGCGUGCCUAAUACAUGCAAGUCGAGCGAACAGACGAGGAGCUUGCUCCUCUGACGUUAGCGGCGGACGGGUGAGUAACACGUGGAUAACCUACCUAUAAGACUGGGAUAACUUCGGGAAACCGGAGCUAAUACCGGAUAAUAUAUUGAACCGCACGGUUCAAUAGUGAAAGACGGUUUUGCUGUCACUUAUAGAUGUAUCCGCGCCGCAUUAGCUAGUUGGUAAGGUAACGGCUUACCAAGGCAACGAUGCGUAGCCGACCUGAGAGGGUGAUCGGCCACACUGGAACUGAGACACGGUCCAGACUCCUACGGGAGGCAGCAGUAGGGAAUCUUCCGCAAUGGGCGAAAGCUUGACGGAGCAACGCCGCGUGAGUGAUGAAGGUCUUCGGAUCGUAAAACUCUGUUAUUAGGGAAGAACAAAUGUGUAAGUAACUAUGCACGUCUUGACGGUACCUAAUCAGAAAGCCACGGCUAACUACGUG